CAUAGAUAUUGGGGUUGGAGUUAUGGACAAGUGAUGCUCUUUUAUGUAGAGGAGUCAACUGAGGCCCCUCUGGUAAGGGGAGUUUGGAGCAGAGCCAACUGGGGAGUUAGAAUAAGCCAGUAGAGGUCAGUGGGGCAUUUCAGUCAGAGGGCACAGCGUAUGCAAAGGCAAGUGUGAAUCAAUGAAGAGGAGGGCACACUGGGGCUGUGGGAGCCAGAAGCAGCAGCCAGCCAGCAGGUGGUUAAGGAAGGCCCUUCUGGAGAGGAGAGCAUUGAUGUUGGACGUGAUGGAUGGAAUGGAAGUUUGCCCGAUAUCUAAAGCUGCCUUCAAAGGUUGAAGCCAAAGAAGUGAAUAGCUAAUGGUGGAAUCUUUGCAAUAGUGAAGUUGCGGGACUGUCCUGGCUCCCUGAGAUCAGAUUCAGAAUGCAGCGAUCCCUCUGUCUCAGGAAUUACAGGGCCAAAGAGGAGUUGUGGUCGGCUCCUGUGUGCCUCUGUGUGCUUUCCAAAUGGUGACAGUGAACCCGUGUUGCAUAAGGAAACUUUCAAACUUACAGAAGAGUGGAGAGACUCGCACAAAGAUGCCAUUACCCGUUACCAGCCUCAUCAGUCAGCAAUGUGGAGUCCCCUCCUGAAUGAGGGGGUUUGAGUCUGCAUUUUUUUCUUGCCUUUGAGAUGGGAAGAUUAUCCUGGAUUAUCCAGGAUGUGUGCAAUCACAUCCAUUCAUGAAUCACACAGAAGAGGAAAAAGUGAUGUGACAAUGGAGAAAACAAAUAGAGUGACUCAACCACGAGCCAAGGAAUGGCAGCUCCCGCCAGAAGCUGGAAGAUACAAGGAAGAGAUUCUCCCCUAGAGCCUUGAGGGGGAGGCAGGCCUGAUGACAUUUUGAUUUCAGCCCAGUGAUAGUAACAAUGGAUUUCUGGCUUCCGAGACAGUAGGGAAAUACUUUUCUGUUGUUUUAAGCCACUAAGCUUGUGGUAAUUCAUUAUAGCAGCCUCAGGAAACUAAUACAAGCAUGCUUUGUAAAUUUUUGUUGAAAGCUGGACAUGUUGUAUAGGAUAAUAAAUACUAAGGGAGACAGAC